CAUAUCUACUAGGGGUGCCUUUAAAAUGGCUGAGAUCAAGGUGAGACCUUGGGACCCUUUGAACCUGAUCUGGUUUGCGCCAACGGAGGGAAGUAAUGGGAUGACAUG
rnacentral:ncRNA from 2 species